AUUGCACCUACAACAGAUACUACCAUUACAUCAACAAACACCUCUACAACCACAACAACAACAAGGAUCACAACUGUGGAGCAAACAGUAACAAGGCGGCUGAGUUUUAGGUCUGCUGGUGAGACCUUUUACAACUGAUUUGCGAAACCCAUCUUCAUCAGCAUUUAUAAACAGAGCUGCACUUUUGAAGUCCACUCUUGAACUCUACUACAAGCAAGCAUUUUCUUCAUUCCGUGAUUUAACUGUGAUUUCAUUCAGCAACGGGUCAAUCAUCAACAACAUGGACUUUCGAUUUGCAUCGGCAUCUGUUCCUAUUGGCUCCAAAAUUGCAGAGGUUUCGGUCAAUGCAGCUUCACAAAUCACUGCUUUCAACAUUGAUACCACUAAUAUUUUCGUGGAUGGAACACAGGUGUCUAGUGGAGUUAAGCCAUAAGAUCAGUCUCAUCACGGCAUUCUGCAUGGUCCUGUUGUUGUUGUCCUGCCAGCACUAUCAUCUCUGUUGAUUUCUAGUGGAUAAUUUGCUAAAAAGGUUUUCCUAACUGGAAAUUGAAAAUAUCUCAUGAAAGGGCAUUUUUUAAAAUAAAUAAUUGUCCAAACAACAUUCUCCAAGUACUAUUUAGCAAGUUAUUCAAAUAUAUUAUUGAUACUACUUUGUUAGGAUGUUAUUUCUUUGACUGUAAAACACUAAAUCCAGUUAAUGUGGAAAACAUCUUGUGUUGUUCACGAUUCCCUGAAAAGAGUCAUAUC